rnacentral:tRNA from 1 species
GCGGGGGUCGCCAAGCCUGGUCAAAGGCGCAGGAUUCAGGAUCCUGUCCCGAAGGGGUUCGCGGGUUCAAAUCCCGCCCCCCGCACCA